AAAGGGCGCGAGUGAAAUGGGGUUUCCGUAUCCGGCGAUCGCUUGAGAGCUGCGAUAAGGAGAGCAAUGGAGUUGAUGAAAGAGGCAACUGCUUCCUCUUCCACUCACCGCUGCUUCUACGCGCCUAGGUCGUGCAGAUCGUCACGGGAGCUAAUCAGAUGGAAGGCACCGCAACUGUGGUUGAGAUGUCCCUACUACUUGCUAUUUUGAUGAUCCUGCGUUCUGGUUUUCAGUCGUUGAUAGGAACAAUCUAACGGCACUCUGAAGGAUAAGCAACUACACGGCAACUUGGAUACCGAAAUUAUGCGGGAGGAAACAACCAGGAAGCUGCUGCUUAGAUUCUUUCCAAUCCCUUCAAUUUAAUUCUCGUUGACCAUGAUCUGUCACGUGAGAAAUACGGCCGGUAUCAAAUUGGAUUCUGUCUCCAUGGUCAACCCCGCACGUGUUCUAGGAUUAGAUAAGUGUCCCUGCAUAUUGUAAUUAACCUAAUCACGAUGCUAAGCUUGUCUGUCAAUGAGCCAUUUUUGGAUCAAAUUUAGCCUAGUCCUGUUAAUGUGGCUUGGACCUAGUCAUCUCUCGCUGAGCAAGGCCUGGGCCGAUCGAGCAUUGGCUUGUUGCUUUUGUUUCCUGCUGUACAGUAUCAAAGUCAAGAAGUAAAGUUAUUAUUGUUUUCUUCUAAUUAUCAUGGUCAACAUUAAUCCUUUGCAAUCCCUUCAAAUUAAAU